rnacentral:rRNA from 1 species
UACGUAGGGGGCUAGCGUUGUCCGGAUUUAUUGGGCGUAAAGAGCGUGUAGGCGGCCUGGUAGGUCUGCUGUGAAAACUCGAGGCUCAACCUCGAGAUGUCGGCGGAAACCAUCUGGCUAGAGUCCGGAAGAGGAGAGUGGAAUUCCUGGUGUAGCGGUGAAAUGCGCAGAUAUCAGGAGGAACACCAAUGGCGAAGGCAGCUCGCUGGGACGUGACUGACGCUGAGACGCGAAAGCGUGGGGAGCGAACAGG